rnacentral:lncRNA from 1 species
AAACUAUCAACCCAGAAUUUAGUAUCCAUCAAAAAUAUCCUUCAGGAAUGAGAAACAAAAAUGAAACCUUUCUCGGGUGAAAGAAAAAUGGAGAGAAUUUGUCACCAGCGGACCUGCUCUAAAAUAAAUGCUAAAAGAAGUUAUUCAGGAUGGAAGAAAAUUAUACCAGAUACUAAAGACUUCAGGAAUGAAGAAAGAGCAACAGAAAUGGCAAAUAGCUGGGCAAAAAUGGACUGUUUGGUGUUGGAGGCUGAGCAGAGGUGGGCAAAAAGGAACAGAAGGAGAGUAACUGGUGAAGAAGGAGCAAAGAGUGAGGCACGUAUCUGGAAAGCCUUCCCAGGAAGGAUGAAUACAAACAAGCCCAAACUGCAAAGACUACAAUAAAUACCUAACUCUUCAAUGCCAAGACUCAUACGCUCAUCUACAAUGUCAAGGCUGCCCAAGAAAACAUGACUUUAAGAAAGUAACUAAAUAAGGCACCAAGGAUCAAUUCUGGAGAAACAGAAGUAGGUGACCUUUCAGACAGAGAACUCAAAAUAGCUGUUUUGAGGAAACUCAAAGAAAUUGAAGAUAACAGAGAAGGAAUUCUGAAUCCUAUCAGAUAAAUUUAACAAAUAGAUUAAAAUAAUUUAAAAGAAUCAAGCAGAAAUUCUGGAGCUGAAAAAUGCAAUUGACAAACUGAAGAAUGCAUCAGAGUCUGUUGAUAGCAGAAGAAAUAAUUAGUAAGCUUGAAGACAGGCUUUUGAAACUACACAGACGAGACAAAAGAAAAAAGAAAAAACCAAUGAAACAUGUCUGUAGGAUCUAGAAAAUAGUCUCAAAUGGCAAAUCUAAGGUAAUUGACCUUAAAGAGGAGGUAGAGAAAGAGAUAGGGAUAAAAAAUUUAUUCAAAUAGAUAAUAAUAGAGAACUUUCCAAACCUAAAGAUAUCGAUAUGCAAGUACAAGAAGGUUAUAGAACACUAAGCGGAUUUAACCCAAAGAAGACUACCUAAAGGCAUUUCAUAAUCAAACUCCCAAAGGUCAAGAAUAAAGAAAAGAUCCUAAAAGCAGCAAGAGAAAAUAAACCAAACACAUACAAUGGAGCUCUAAUAUGUCUGGCAGCAAAUUUUUCAGUGGAAACCUUACAGGCCAGGAGAGAGUGGGAUGACAUAUUUAAAGUGCUGAAGGAAAAAAAAACUUUUAUCCUAGAAUAGUAUAGUCAGCAGAAAUAGCCUUCAAACAUGAAGAAGAAUUAAGAUCUUUCCAGACCAACAAAAGCUGAGGGAUUACAUUAACACCAGACCUGUCCUGUAAGAAAUGCUAAGGGAGUACUUUAAUCAGAAAGAAAAGAAUGUUAAUGAGUAAGAAGAAAUCAUCCAAAGGUACAAAAUUCACUCUUAGUAGUAGAUACACAGAAAACACAGAACAUUAUCAUACUGUACUGUUAUAUGUAAACUACUCUUAUCUUAAGGAAAAAGACUAAAUGAUGAACCAAUCAAAAAUAAUAGCUACAACAACUUUUCAAGACAUAGGCAGUACAAUAAGAUAUGAAUAGAAACAACACAAAGUUAAAAAGUGAUAGGAAGUUAAGGCAGAGUGUUUAUUCAUUUUCUUUUUGCUUGCUUGUUUGUUUAUGUAAACAGUGCUAAGUUGUUAUUGGCUGAAAAUAAUAGAUUAUAAGAUAGUAUUUGCAAGCCUCAUAGUAACCUCAAUCCAAAAACAUAUGACAGGUACACAAAAAAUAAAAAGCAAGAAACUAAAACAUAUUAUCAGAGAAAGUCAUCUUCAGUAAAAGGAAGACAGGAAGGAAAGAAAGAAGAGAAGACCAGAAAACAAAUAACAAGAUGCCAGGAGUAAGACCUUAUUUAUAAUAAUAACAUUGAAUGUAAAUGGACUAAGCUUUCCAAUCAAAAGACAUAGACUGGCUGAAUAGGUAAAAACAAGCAAACAAACAAACAACUACAAAAAAAGAAACAAAAAAAAAAACAACAAAAAACAGGCUGGGCAUGGUGUCUUACACCUGUAUUCCCAGCACUUUGGGAGGUGGAGAUGGGCAGAUCACGAGGUCAGGAGAUCGAGACCAUCCUGGCCAACAUGGUGAAACCCCGUCUCUACUAAAAGUACAAAAAUUAGCUGGGUGUGGUGGCGCAUGCCUGUAAUACCAGCUACUUGGGAGGCUGAGGCAUGAGAUCCCUUGAACCUGGGAGGCAGAGGUUGCAGUUAGCCAAGAUCACGCCACUGCACUCCAGCCUGGUGACAGAGCAAGACUCCGUCUC